CCCCCCCCCCCCCCCCCCUCUUUUUCUCUGUUUAAAUUAAUAAUUUAAACCCAACUAACGUUUAGCAAUAUCCCAACAAUUACAUAAACAUGAGAUAAAAUAAUAUGAAGUCAAUUCCAUAAAUCACUUCACUCAAAAGCACUUCAAGUUCAUCUUCCAUACAGUACAUAAACAAGAUUAUAAACUUACUUUUUCUUUCUCAAUACUGUCAAUCCAAUCUACCUUACAAAAUAUGCACAAAAUCCACAAAAUUUCGACCAUUUUCAGACGCAAGAAGACACACGUUUUCUAAAAUAAAUGAAAUAUGCAAGAAGAAAGAGAUUUCAAAAUUAAAAUGAAGUGGGAGAAGAGCACAGACCACUAAUUAUUGAACAAAGUCCAAAGAGGAAAACAUGGAAACCCUUGCCCUCAGUAUAAUGAAACCAGAAAGUAAGGUUCAAGGUUAUGUGUAAUGAAUGAAGACAUGAAUGAAAGUGAGUUCUGAAAUAACAAUGGACAUAAGAGAUCAAUCAAUAAUGGAAAUGGUCCAGGGACGUGAACAAGACAUCUUGUGGGGUUGCAAGAAUCCAAAAGCAUUCGUCACGGAACGAACUUCAAGGUUACCCCUAUGAGAAAUUGACUGCCGUGAAUUGUAACAAG
rnacentral:lncRNA from 1 species